GCUUGUUGUUUAUCUCAUUAAAAAAAAAAGAAAAAAGAAAAAAAAAGAACAGAACAGAACUGAACAAACUACCGUUCUUCUGUAUAUCUAUCGAUGGCUGCAGCAAUCCCAGUCUCAGUUUCUCUCAUUCUCUCCUCAGAUUCACAACCAUCCCAAAGACUGCCCGUAAUUCUUUCACCUUCAAAUAUACAACACCCUUUCCUUUCUCUCCACAAAUCUUUCAAUUUCAGCUCUAGAUUCCGUGUCUCCUCAAAAUGUUCCUCUCCUUCUCCUUCAUCCUCAACAACGACGACGACGACAUCAACAGAAACAGAAACAUCAAGUGCUUCCACCACCUAUUCAUACCUUGAGGAUUCAUAUAAAACAGGGAGGUUCUUGAGCAAUGAAGAGAUUGAAAAGCUUAACGCACUUCAAAAUUUCAGAUAUUAUCAGCAACUAGAAACUGGGUCUAUGUGUGUUAGGCUGAUGAAGCCAGAAGAAAUGGAUAUAACUGUUAAAUUGCUAGCAGAGUCAUUUGUUGAGUCUAUGUUGUUGCCUGUUGGUUAUGUAUCUUUGUUGAGGUACUUGGUGAAGCAGUACUUGAUAGAAAGGAGAGCUGCAAUGCCGCAUGCCGUUACGCUUAUUGGGUUUUAUAAAGGGAAACAAGAGAUGAAUACUGGAGAAGAAAAGGAGGACCUCGAGGAGUUGGCAGGGACUGUGGAGGUUUGUUUUGACAAAAGGGGUGCUAAUACUUCUCCUCCGACGCCUACCUCUCCAAAGAAUGCUCCUUACAUUUGCAACAUGGCUGUUAAACAGUCACUUCGUAGGAGGGGAAUUGGUUGGAAUCUUCUGAAGGCAAGUGAGGAACUUAUUUCUCAGAUGAGUAGUAUGCGAGACGUGUACUUGCACUGCAGAAUGAUUGAUUUGGCCCCCCUCAACAUGUAUACAAAAGCAGGUUACAAUAUUGUUAAAACCGAUAGCAUAAGGGUCCUAUUGAUGUUGCAGAGGCGCAAACAUUUGAUGUGCAAGAAACUUGCAGUCUUAAAAAAUCCUUCCGAACUUGAUAUUUCAGGCUCUGAUACAGAAUUAUCUUCACAAUUGGAUAUGUUGAAGUCAUGACGUAUGCUUCUGAGGUCCUUCAGGGUAUAGUCUGGCCAGCUUGUGGUGAUUAUCCAAUUUGGUUGAUUUUGGCCAGGAAUUCAAUCCGAUGGUCUGGCAUCUCCUUGUAAUUUAUCAUAUUUAUGGGGAUACCUAUAGUGCUACAGAAAAUCUGUUGGGAUGAAUUUGUCGUACCUGUAGGACAAGGUUUUGAUCACUCGGUCCCUGGUUUAAGUCCACUGCUCGACGUCCAGUUAAGAGCUCAAGAAGAACCACUCCAAAUGCAUAAACAUCACUUUGUAAAGUGAGGUUCCCUGUCUGCCAUUAAAAGAAACGGGCUAAUCCUCAGAUCCGAUUUGCAAAUCAAGCUAAGCAGCAAAAAGUACUAUUCAGGACUGAAGAUUGUUCUGCAAUAGUUCUGACUUCAUCUAAGGCGUAGACUCCAACUAAUUAGGGAUCGAGGAUUUGAAGGCCUAGGUGCCUAACUAAGUUGAGUUAAGUUGAUAAUGAAGAAAGAUGAGUUUUUAUUGUACUUGGUUCAAAAUCAAACUAGCUGUUGCUUGAUGUUUGUCAGAGAUUCUCAGAUCCUUGCCCUGAAGGAUAAUUUGUUUUAUCGUGCUGCUUUUUAUUGAAAAUGUUCUGUUCAAGAGUAGAACUUGGGUGGUGAUUAAUGUGAUUCUAGGCAGGCUGAGUUUAGAGAGUUUGUGGUGUAAACGUUCCUGAAAGAGAAUCUGGAAAGAAUCUUCAGCAUUUGUGUA